GAUCAGCCAUGCCGCGUGCAGUGAGAAGGCCCUAUGGUUGAAACUGCUUUUAUUUGGGAAUAAACCUUGGUACGUGGACCAGGCUGACUGUACCACUCCAAUAAGCACCGGCUAACUCCGUGCCAGCAGCCGCGGUAAUACGGAGGGUGCGAGCGUUAUCCGGAAUCAUUGGGUUUAAAGGGUCCGCAGGCGGAUUUAUAAGUCAGUGGUGAAAUCCUACAGCUUAACUGUAAAACUGCCAUUGAUACUGUAAGUCUUGAAUUCCGUCGAAGUGGGCGGAAUUUGUAAUGUUUCGGUGAAAUGCUUAUAUAUGACAUAGAACACCGAUUGCGAAGGCAGCUCACUAGGCCUGGAUUGACGCUCAAGGACGAAAGCGUGGGGAGCGAACACGAUUAGAUACCCUGGUAGUCCACGCCGUAAACUAUCAUUACUCGUUUUCAGCGAUAUACAGUCUGAGACUAACCGAAAGUGAUAAGUAUUCCACCUGGGGAGUACGAUCGAAAAGGGUUGAGACU
rnacentral:rRNA from 1 species